CCGCCGGGGUCUGCCUGCUGCGGGGAGCGGCCUGCGCCGUGUCGCGGGUCGGGGUCGGCGCGGUCCCGAGUCGGAGUGAGGACGGAGGGAGGGUGGUGGUGGGCGCUCCUGACAGCGCUGAGGUGAAUGCCCUCUCACUUAGCGCCCGUGGUCAGCAGUAAUAAGGAGAACGCGUGGCUUCGUGGCGGACUUUUAGGUCGGAGAUGGAGGAUUUCCCAUUUUUAAAGGUCAACCAAACCCUUGGCAAAGGGCAAAUGAAUAGGCAAAACUCACUGAUCCGGCAGUCCCCUGGCAGCUGGGUGCAGCGAGGGAACAGCGAGGCUGCGAGGCUGCGAGCAGAGCGCUCCGCAGCGUGCUGCAGGAGCCGUGCCACAAACGGCCUGCGUAGGCUGGCUGCCGUGAUGAGAGGGUGCACAGCCCUAAUUGCACUGUGUGCAGCUUGUUCUAAACAGAUGUCUUCAGAUCACCUCCCACCUGAAUUUGUGUGUGCUACAUGCACAGGAACACAAGAGGAACUAUUUUACAGCGUUUUCUACAGCUCCUACUGAACAUACACCGACACUGGUAUCUGCCAGCUGUAGCGUUGUAUUCAUGUGCUACUUGGGAUUCCGUGUACAUGCAGCCUAGCAUUAACAGCAUAAUAGCAUUUCCUGGCUGAAGGAUAUCAUCGUUUCAGUCUUACAAGUCUUCAGAGUUUCCUGGCCCAGCAAUGAUAAGUGCAAUACUUUUAAUUGAAAAGAUGGAAGACUUCUUUGUAAUAGUAAAUUAUGUCUUCCAUUUCUACCAGACUGUAAGAUAACAGUCUUCAAAAGUAUGAUAUUUUUAGAACAACUAUAGUCUUUGGUUCAAGAUCAGCUCAUGCUGGUUUUGGAGCCCUGACCAUGUGUGUUUUUGAGGGAGGAAAACAUUUCCAUCAGGUGUAGCAGAUGUUGGGGAGAAAAAGCAUUUGCUGAAAUGCAUCCAUGAAAAUUAACAGGGUGUUUGGUGGUAAGUAAGAAAUGAAGGCAAAAAAAAAAAGAAAAACAACUUAUAACGUGAAGAUAACCGUAUAGCUUACCAUACAAAUGAUGUGAUUGUACAUGCUGUUAAAGUGUUGUUAACACUGUCUUUUGCAAGACCAUCCAUGGGAAGAACAUAGAAAAGUAAUAAGUAAUAUAUAGAUUGUGUACCAAAGACUGAAAGCACAUUUCCAUCUACAGCAUGGUAAUGGUAACAGGGUAUUAUUAUUAAGGUGCUGUUUUUACAAGUCAUUUCAAGUAUUGGUGACAACCUGUACAAACAUUGAUAAUAUCGCUGUCACAACACCCUACUAACACCGCAUGUUGGCACCCUUUAGCAUUGUAAUGCUUCACAGGCAACAGGAAAAUAUUGCAGAAUAACAUUUAUUACUCUGUAUUCAAUAACAGUCUUUGAUAGUUUGCCUACCAAUCCAUCCAUUCCUGAUCAACCACUUAAAAAAAUGCAACCUUUCUCAAUUAUAGCACCAUAUUACAUGGCUUCAUUUGCAUUCUCAAUUGAGAAUAGCAUCACCUUUGCCAGGUCAUUUCAAACUCAAAAGCUUUUCAUGUUUUCCCACCAUUUGAUCAGAUUAAGAAGAAUUAGGGCUUGUAGUAUUAAUGGUUAAAUUGUACACUUGAAGAGGGUAUUGAACACAGAGCUCUGGUCUUUUUAAUUCACUGUGUGUGUAGGGUUCCCGUGCAGCCUCAGAAAUGAGCAACUAGACAGCAAAGGCAGCAGAACAGCUUUGAUAGAGGUAAUUGAUUCUUUCACAGUGCCAGCUGGAACAGAGUCCACUGCACCUGCAACAGCCUCUCUGGUUUAUAAACACAUUUUAUCUUCUGUCCUAAACAAACAGGAAUUAAAAAAAAAAAAAAAUUAUUUGGCUUUGAGUCAUCACUUGUGGAUCCUUUUUUACCUGCUUUGGUGACCUAGGUCUGGAAACUGAGCAUGAUUGACUGUGGCAACACUUUAAAUUCAUUGUUAGUUACUAGACAACACUGAGUUCUAGUGUGAUGUUUUGGUACGAAAGCCUGAGGCAAUACUCAGCAGAAGUGAGUAGGUAAUAUUACCUUUCCUUCCAAUAUGGUGAGACAGUUAUUCAAAUUCUGUUGCUUUAUAAUUCAUCUACCUAGUUACAGGAGAACUAAGGGAGAGUAUUUCAGUGACAAAGUAAUGUUUCUAGAAGCCCAGUGCUUCACAACACUCUGCAAUGUUUUGAUUUACUACUGAGAGAAAAGGUCCUAUCUGAAUGAUUAAUUACAUUCUCUGCCCAUAAGUCAACAGAAAUCAACAGACUUCUGACCAAAGGCUGACCAAGACUGAUGCUGGCAAGUGCAGGAAGUUUGAUAAAUAUCUUAGAAGGGGAAUAACCAUAGAGUUUGAAAUUCUUACUUGAAGUAAAAAGCUCUCAUCCCAAUUUCUCAAUUUGGUCAUUUCUUAAAUCCUGCUCUUUUGUUUUUGCGUCUCCCCGUUUGUUGAUCUCUGAAUUUUUAGAUAUUUUUCAGGGUAAAAGAAACGCAAGUCUGAGUGACUUGAGAUGAGAUAUGGCUAAGUAGCCUAUUAAAGAUGGAAGUUCCGUGAGUUAUCACAUUACCAAUCUCACCUUGUGCCACAUUUAGGAAGAUAAAGAGUUGUGGUCUAGGAAAAGUUAGAUGUCAGUGUCCCUAAGUCUAGUUAUUUUCUGGAUACCUCAUUUUAGAUGAAAUUUAUACAGUAGCAAUAUUUUUUCCACAAAGAAGCCAUAGAGCUUUCUGGAAUACGGGAUUUAUGGAGUUAGAGGUACUACCUACAUCAAAAUACUUUUCAAUCUGUUUAUCAUCCCCGCCUGUGAUACUAUUUGUAUUCAUUUAGUACUGUUGCAAACAUAAAAAACACUUUGUUUUCUGCUUAGCACCUGUCCGACUUCUAAAGAGGGAGGGCUUUUUAGACUUAAAAGUUCUGAGAAAAGGAUUUCACGGGACCGGACUCAGGUGCUGAAACAAGCUGUGCUGGCUUCAGUGAAUUUGUGUGCCUUAUCCCAGUUGUGAAUAUGGCUUCAGUUUUCUACAAGAAUAAAACAAAUCUUUUCAGUUCUUUCACAAGUGCAGGUAUUAACUAACAGUCAUUAAAGCUACACUAGUUAGUGGCUUUUUGGUGAGUAUCAAGCCGCUUUUUCAUCUUGAAACUUAGCCUCUGACUACUGAAUAAUAAUAUCCUCUUGCAGGAUCAAUCCAGUAUCGUUAUAAUUUGGUAACAAAAGCAUUGUUGUUAGACUGAGUCACAAAGCACUGUGCGUCGAUACAUCUACAGAGUGAGAGGCCAGAAGCUGAAGUUAGGGCAUAUCAAAUAAUAACCAGUAAUCAAACACAUUACACACAAUAUUAUUUUCUCAAGACAAUAUGUAUCUAAGCCUUAAUGUUCUUUUUCCAAAGGCUAUACUUCUCGUGUAAAGUUCUAUUAUUUCUUCUGUUCUCACAGUAAAAAUAAUCAUAUAAAGGAACUGCAGAUUCUACUCACAGCAGUUCCCUCUAAAAUUUGACAGGUUUUGGAAGAAAGAUGAGGAGAGCUACUAACUAGAAUGCAAAUUUCUUGAAGGGAACUCCAGCAAUGAUCACAAGAUCCACCCAGCUGAGCUCUACUGCUUGCAGUCUGCAAGGUGGCUUGCUCAAGAUGAGCCCAGACAAGUCUUGCAGCAGUCAAAACAGAAAGACAAGAUACAGCCUCAGAAGUCCCUUUGGAGCAAACAUCUGCAAAAUGAAAUAUGAAGAUCAUUAGUGCCAGAGAUGCUACUAUCAAACAGUAGGGAAGAAUAAUGCACCCUGCUUUUUCUUUCUUGGAAGCAAAAGGAGUAGGUAUGGAGGGUUUGUCUUGUUUUGGGUGUUUUGCCAGGAAUCUCAAGCUGACACCUCUGCUGCUUUUGAGAGGAAGAGGUGGCAUGCUUCCGCCCUCAUGCAGGUAAAGGCUAAGGAGCAAACAGGAGCAGGGCUGCAGCUGCACAGUAUCACUGCUUGGGGCAAAUGCUCGGAAGCGCAAAUCUGCCUCUAGUGCAGUGCCUCAGCAAGCCCUAGCUCUGGAGAUUUUUACUGCAUGCCUUCUUAACACUUCCCCUGACGAGUCUGCACAAUACUGAGGCAGGAAAGGUCUGAUGUGCUUGAUCCAUGUCUCGCUAUCAUACAGUGACUGAAGAUGAUUCCAAGCACCUAUCUCUUAAAGCCAAACAAGCUCUCAAAGAGCAUUUACUAUUAUUUACUUCUUAUAAUUUUGCAUGCAGGACAGUGACAGGAUGUAAUGAGAUAAAAACAUAUAUAUUAUUGUACAAAAGAGUCUCACAUCUGCAGUCCUGAAUUAGUAGUGGCUGCAAUUACUAUGUAGGCAAUGCCCUGCAUCUUCAUUAUUUGUGUUACAGGGCCACUAUCAUUAAUACAGAGAUAAAUGUGGACUCCAGCAAGCGCCAAAUUUAUCCUUUUCAUUUUGAAUUGCUAAGGCACUGAAUAAACUGCAAAUCUGGGAACUGUUCGCUUCCUCAACAGAAGCAUUUGCUUGUCUGUUUCUGACGGUUUUGGUGUAAUUCUUUCAGAUGUUCUGUCCAGAAAUGUAACUGAUAUUUAUCCUCUGAUGGAGCCUUUUUUGUGAGUUAAGGUCCUUUUGGCUGUUUAACGCCCUCUGAAUUGCUCUCAGCCAUUCUUCAGCAAAUAACACAGGACACCCUCUCUUCACAGCUCAGGUUUAACAUACAGUAUUUACUCCGUAACAGCACUCAGGACAGUGAGGAUUUCCGCUGAGUGGUGGUAAGGUUUUCUGUAAAUCCACCAUUUUUAGUAAUCUUUGAAUGCAUUUCCCCGCAAGGGUUUCUUAACACAGCCCUAAGCCAAAUGAGCUUCCCCCAUCCAUCUUCUUGUGCAGAUAUUUUUCUUACCUGAGGGCUUGAAUGAGAGCUGUCCAGAUGAGCAAUCCUUCAGGAAUCAAUCUUGCAUCUCUUUCCAGGCAGAUCUGUAAAUCUGUCAGAAGGUCACGCAGUGGGAGCAGAAGGUUAGAUGAGAGAGCAAACGUGGUUGCUGAAGGCCAUAAAUGCAAGUUGCAGUCAGAGUGGUGGGAGAGGAAGCUAGCAGACCAGUUCAUCUUGGAACCUAUCUUCUAAAAAAGCUUUUAGAUUUGGGUUCACAAAGAAUGGAGCUAAAACAUGUUGAAGAAGAUGUUUCGCUGAUUCAGCCAGGAAUUCAGCACCCAGCCCUCAGCUCAGACAGCCUUAAAUCUCCUUGCUGAGAGCAGUGGAAAAAGCCAUCUAUACAACAAGUUCUUAUUUUAAAUCAAGGCAAUUUUUCAUUGUUUUCUGAUUCAAAUAGAUGUAGAGAUGCUAUACUGUGAUAGGGCUCUGUAUCAUUGUAGAGCCAGCACCUUCAAAGCAGAAUAUGGACGCAAAACCCUCAAGGAACAAGGUGCUUGAGUGAGCCAGUCUCUAGCAAGAGCAUGUUUGCCCAUCUCACCUAUGGCAAUAGUGGUGCAAAAGGUCCUUCAUCUUUGUUGUGACAUUGGUGACUCCUGCCUUUCAGACUGUAUGACAGAGCAUAUCUAGGGCCUCCAAUCAUGUAUUAGGAUGCUUCUGGAUUCUGUGAGUGAGCUGAUAAUCCUAAAGGAAGGUGACUGAUACAUUUAAUAUGAUUUCCUCAUAAUUUUGUGUCCAGUUCUUCUUAUGCAUCUCUAUUCACAUCUGUCAACAGUUACUACACAGUAGGAUCAAAGAUACCACUGUUUCCUGUACCUUGACUAUUAAUGCUCUUGAUUUCUCAGAUAUAACAGAAAGACACCACAGCAAAUACCACACUUUUCAUACCACAAAUUACUAGGACAUUCUUAAGAACAAGAUAAAUUAUGCACAUUUUUAAAAACAUUUCCAGAAGGCCUAAAAUAGUAGUACUAUAGUCUUUACAAGACCUUGCUGUGUUAUUAAGAGCUUUUUCUUUUCCACAGUGUCGUGGGAGGAACAGACCAUGCGCUGGUAAUGCUACAUCUUUUGCAGAUAGUGCUGUGUUCUCAGUGGCAACAUACUGUUUGUGACAGGAUCAAGCAGCAAAAGAUAGGGCUCAGGCUAGCCACGAUUCCCAUACUUACUUGGGAACUGCAGUAUUUUGAGAGUCUAGGGGGCCAGUAAGCCAGAUUUUGUUCCUAGAAUAUUUUCAAAGUCAACACUUUAUAAUAAAAAGCCUGUACACAUUACCCUUUGGACACCUUUAAAGUGAAGAUGCUUCAGGAAAGUAUCUAAUUUAUUUGUUUGCAAAUCUAGUAAGUGGGAAUUUUCAGGCAUUUUUUAUUCUCUCAUUACAUUUACAAGAUCAGAAACUUUCAAGUGAAUGAGAAAAAAAUAGGAGCCACCAAUAUUGCUUUUGAAAAGUCUUAUUUUUCAUCGUCUUGUAGUUUGCUGUAUGCUUCUCUGUGUUAAUCUCUGAGUUGGCAUGGGUGGAGCUCAUUUUAAUUUCCUGCUUCUCUUUGCUGCAGUAAUUAUACCAUCAGCUAUUUUGCUGUUUUAGUCUUUUAAGGAAAUUGAACUGCAAGUGACUGAAACCUGAACCUGAACCUAUUAUAAAAAGAGAAGAAAUCCUACCCCAGAUGUACUUCUGGAUCCAUCUCUACCAUACUUUUUCAUGUACCACCUAUCUUUUAGUCCAUCUUCCUUAGCCUUUCUCAUAACUGUUAAAGAGCCCCAACAUUUCCAAGUUUGAUGUAUCAGUCACUUAGAGUAGAGGCAGGGACUGCAUCUGUCCUUGCUUCUGCAAGUUGUCUUGCUAUUACAUUGUAUGUUGACCACUAAAGGAAUCUUAGUUUUAAGAUGUAUCUCGCUGUUGUUUUUAACUCGAGGAUGCAAAUAUCUAUGAGCUCAUUAUGCAGACCCAGUAAAUUAAAAGGAAUGGAUCAGAAAAUGCAAAGAGACUGAUAAGGGAAGGAAAAAAAAGCAGUAACAUCUUCAAUAAACAAAUUGUCAGUGGUUUAGGGUUGGUUCAGCCACUCAGUUCUGUGACCAGUGGCGCAGAGGGACUCACUGACCUGCACCCCAGGAGAGGAGGAAGGAAAAAAGGGGAGAAGGUAGGGAGACGGGCCUAAAAACAAAACUGCGGCAACAAGCCAAGGGAGAAAACUAAUUUUCUAAAUAUGAUAGUGGAAUGCAAGAUAACACAAUAUGAUACAAUAGAAUAGGAGUAGAAGCUGAUAAGUAAAAAGAGAGAGGGUGUGCAAAACCGAAGGCCUUUCUCUAAUGCUGAAGGCGAGAUGGCUAGGGAGCACACAACCGCAGAGACAAGCGGUAAAAGAAGGGGCGUCUCGUUACUCACAAGCAGUUUUAUCUUUCUCUCUAAACAGAAAAAAAGAAAGGGAACAGUGAAAAUCUUCUGGGAGAUGGAGUUCUUCUCUUCUGAGACCAGCAUUAUCAGCUUCAGAAAACUGAGAGCAGGACAAAGAGGAGGUCCAGCCAUCUAGUGGCUCAGCAUCUGCCCAAGGGAAUGCUGUGGCUCGGCUGCCUUUCGUUUGUCUUUGUGACCAUCGUUAACACUGGUUUCCUUGCUGCAAUGAAUGCUGAGAAGAUGCUUGCUUGCCAAGUCCUCUGGCACAAAAUCUGCAGAAUGAGUCACCCGUGCUCUCAUGCCAUUACGAGGUAUGGAACAGCUCACACAGGCUAUGCUUCUGAGUUGUUUUGGAAUUUCAUAUCCAGCAAAGGACUGUAUUGCAUGCAGCCCAGCAGCUGCCUUCUAGUCCAGCAGACCACCUGGGAAAGCUUGGUGCUCUGGCUAGCAUAAAGGAACAUUGCACAGAGCUCCCCUCGUACUGCCCAUAUUGUACGGUCAAACAGGACAAAACCUACAGAUUCUAACAGCCUUUGGGUUAUCUCUUAGAUCCAGCAGGAGCUGUUCCACUCCCCCAGCAGCGCAGGCGCAGCUGAGUCAUAGUUUCAUUACCCUUUGGCAUGCUCACAUGAGCUUCUGCUUCUUUUAUCUGUUGCCGGACUCUCUCUUCCCUAGAUUUUCCUGAGCACUGUUGAAAGACUGUUACAAUUACGUGCAUUCUCCACAUUGCUGCAGCUCAGCUUUGGAAAACCCCUUAAAUAUACACACCAGGCCCCAUGAAGUUUGGUUUCCCUACUUUUUCCAGCAAGUAUACUAACCACCAGACCAAGUUUAACUGCACCCAGCCUGCAUGCAGGUGCAUUCACCAAGGCUGCUCAAAGGUUUUAGCGCUCCACUGCUGCCAGUACAACUAGCUGGGGACGGUUAUAAAACAUACCAGGCUACAGCUGAAGCUCACCUUGAAAGCGUGAGGACUUCAGGAAAGCCAAGUCUGUUGUGUAAAUGAAUAGAAAUUAUAAAAAUGGAGUAGGACUAAGUUGCCUCAGAUAAAUUUUAUUAGAGAUGACCCUAAAUCAUAUGCUUCAGUGUGACUGAAAUGUAGCUGCAAGAGUGUAACUGAGAAAAGGCUGUUGGGGUUGUGUUCUGUUCAGAAUUAAUCAUGUUCUGGCAGCAGACCUGGUAUUUCACAUGAAUACUUGUCCUGGAUUGUAUCACAACAUCAAAAAAAAAACCCACAGGUGACAGGUUUAGUGCAAUAACAUCAGGUGGAUCAGACACAAGAGCACAUUCUUGCACUAUAAUGAGCCCAGUUAGAGUACACGACCUUAGAGGGCAGAGCUGAAAACCUCACCUCAAUCCUGCAGUUUACAGCAUGUAACAGACAGCAUACACGGCAAAAGCUUACACCCAGCUCCACAUUUCACAAAAAUGUGAAAGAACCAUCUACUCUUUAACAUAUUGUUUGUAUCUAAAUAUUGAAAAACUCAUAUCCCUCAGUUAUUGCUGUGGUGGCUUUUGGCUCGUAUUCACCACUAUUACAAACUCCAAUGCAUUAGUAAUUCCCAGUGUAGAGAUUUCACACCUUUCAUCUUCAUUGGAAUCUGAAGCAGUCACAUUAACAAGGUGAAGUGACCAUGAUUUUGAGGAUUUAGGGCUACUUCUGCAGCCUUGUGCAGUACAGUGCAACCUACUGCUGGGAAUCUGCUUGAGCAGGGGGACUGGACUCAAUCCCCAUAGGUCCCUUCCAACCCCUACAAUUCUGUAAUACUUAAAUGUUCCUGCACACGUGUAUAUAUUGACUCCAAAGCAGUAAGAAACGUUAACUACACGAGAGCAUUUAAAGAGAAGGGAUACUAGUUCCUUGCAGCAGAGUUGAUCUUGAAAUAACAUCGCUUCCCAGGUAAACGUGUGAGUGCUCAAAUCUGUUUGAAUUUUCACUUCUUCCCAAUAUACCUUUGAACAACUCUCAUGGCCUGAGAAAACCUUAGUUCUGGCCUUAUCCUUCACUCUUCCUUGCUGUCCCCAGUUUGUGUGCAUCUCUGUUGAUGACUUCUAAGAUUUGAGAGGCCUUGUAUUACUUUAAAAACUUCCAAAAUUUGGAAAGCAUGUGUUCCCAGAUUCCAGCUUGCAGACGUUUCUACCUUG